rnacentral:sRNA from 1 species
AUUCAGGCCACCAUAGAGCUGCAGACCAGCCAUGUGGCCAAGGGCUGUGACCGUGACAACUACUCAGAGCGGGCGCUGCGGAAACUCUGUGGUGCUGCCACUGGGGAGGUGGAUCUGUUGCCCAUGCCUGGCCCCAAUGCCAACUGGACAGCAGGACUCUCGGUGCACUACAGCCAGGACAGCAGCCUGAUCUACUGGUUCAAUGGCACCCAGGCUGUGCAGGUGCCCCUGGGUGGCCCCAGUGGGCUGGGCUCUGGGCCCCAGGAGAGCCUCAGUGACCACUUCACCCUGUCCUUCUGGAUGAAGCAUGGCGUAACUCCCAACAAGGGCAAAAAGGAAGAGGAAACCAUCGUAUGUAACACUGUCCAGAAUGAGGACGGCUUCUCUCACUACUCGCUGACUGUCCACGGCUGUAGGAUUGCCUUCCUCUACUGGCCCCUGCUUGAGAGUGCCCGCCCAGUCAAGUUCCUCUGGAAGCUGGAGCAGGCUGACCACAAGGACCAGUGAGGACUAAUUUGAGUUUUCACCUCCUUCUGUUUCUCUUGCAAGUCCUGGUGGAGUGGCUG